rnacentral:rRNA from 16 species
GUGGGUAGUUUGACUGGGGCGGUCUCCUCCUAAAGAGUAACGGAGGAGCACGAAGGUUGGCUAAUCCUGGUCGGACAUCAGGAGGUUAGUGCAAUGGCAUAAGCCAGCUUGACUGCGAGCGUGACGGCGCGAGCAGGUGCGAAAGCAGGUCAUAGUGAUCCGGUGGUUCUGAAUGGAAGGGCCAUCGCUCAACGGAUAAAAGGUACUCCGGGGAUAACAGGCUGAUACCGCCCAAGAGUUCAUAUCGACGGCGGUGUUUGGCACCUCGAUGUCGGCUCAUCACAUCCUGGGGCUGAAGUAGGUCCCAAGGGUAUGGCUGUUCGCCAUUUAAAGUGGUACGCGAGCUGGGUUUAGAACGUCGUGAGACAGUUCGGUCCCUAUCUGCCGUGGGCGCUGGAGAACUGAGGGGGGCUGCUCCUAGUACGAGAGGACCGGAGUGGACGCAUCACUGGUGUUCGGGUUGUCAUGCCAAUGGCACUGCCCGGUAGCUAAAUGCGGAAGAGAUAAGUGCUGAAAGCAUCUAAGCACGAAACUUGCCCCGAGAUGAGUUCUCCCUGAGACUUAGAGUCUCCUGAAGGAACGUUGAAGACGACGACGUUGAUAGGCCGGGUGUGUAAGCGCAGCGAUGCGUUGAGCUAACCGGUACUAAUGAACCGUGAGGCUUAACCUUAC